GACGAACGCUGGCGGCGUGCUUAACACAUGCAAGUCGAGCGGUAAGGCCCUUUCGGGGGUACACGAGCGGCGAACGGGUGAGUAACACGUGGGUGACCUGCCCUCAGCUCUGGGAUAAGCCUGGGAAACCGGGUCUAAUACUGGAUAUGACUCCAUGACGCAUGUUGUGGGGUGGAAAGCCUUGUGCGGCUGAGGAUGGGCCCGCGGCCUAUCAGCUUGUUGGUGGGGUGANGGCCUACCAAGGCGACGACGGGUAGCCGGCCUGAGAGGGCGACCGGCCACACUGGGACUGAGACACGGCCCAGACUCCUACGGGAGGCAGCAGUGGGGAAUCUUGCGACAAGUGGGACGAAACGCCUGACGCAGCGACGCCGCGUGGAGGG
rnacentral:rRNA from 1 species